rnacentral:rRNA from 1 species
AUACGGAGGGUGCAAGCGUUGUUCGGAAUCACUGGGCGUAAAGGGCGCGCAGGCGGUUUGGUAAGUCAGAUGUGAAAGCCCACGGCUCAACCGUGGAAGUGCAUUUGAAACUGUCAGACUUGAGUACUAGAGGGGAAAGUGGAAUUCCCGGUGUAGAGGUGAAAUUCGUAGAUAUCGGGAGGAAUACCGGUGGCGAAGGCGACUUUCUGGCUAGAUACUGACGCUGAGGCGCGAAAGCGUGGGGAGCAAACGGGAUUAGAAACCCCAGUAGUCC